CGGCGUGCCUAACACAUGCAAGUCGAACGGGGUGGAGCCCUUCGGGACUCUACUUAGUGGCGAACGGGUGAGUAACGCGUGAGGAACCUGCCUUUCAGUGGGGGACAACAGUUGGAAACGACUGCUAAUACCGCAUAACAUACACGGACCGCAUGAUCUGUGUAUCAAAGCUUUAUGUGCUGAAAGAUGGCCUCGCGUCUGAUUAGCUAGUUGGUGGGGUAACGGCCCACCAAGGCGACGAUCAGUAGCCGGUCUGAGAGGAUGAACGGCCACAUUGGGACUGAGAUACGGCCCAGACUCCUACGGGAGGCAGCAGUGGGGAAUAUUGGGCAAUGGGGGAAACCCUGACCCAGCAACGCCGCGUGAAGGAAGAAGGCCUUCGGGUUGUAAACUUCUUUUAGCAGGGACGAAUACGUGACGGUACCUGCAGAAAAAGCAACGGCUAACUACGUG
rnacentral:rRNA from 1 species